GCAGCCCUUCCAUUCCUGUGAGGAAGGGGAAGACUGUCUCUGCUCCAGAUGCGUGAGACGCCAGGCUUCAUUACUUUCAGGGAUUCUGUCCAUGUUCUUGCUCUCGAUUCAAUUAAAACAAUCUGAGGUAAUUAAUUGAAUUUGUUAUUUGAUUAAUAAAGAUAGAAAUUUGGCCAAGUUGCUGUGAAGUAGGAAGCCAUGUUGAGACCUGAGGAGAGAGGCUCCUGGAAGCCUCACUCUGUUCCUGCCUGCCUUUUGGCAUGAUCCCCCUCAUUCCUCUUGUGGACCCACUGUGUCAUCUCUGAGCCCCAUCAUUCCAGCUGGGGACAGGGUCUCAAAGUCAGGAGUAUGAACUCUAAGAGGUGAUGGGGUGGCCAGGGACCCGAGUGAUCUGUGGGAGUUGGGGAGGAGCCUCCAGACAUCUGCAAGGGGCUUCAUGUAGAGACAGCAGAGGCAAGGGCGGGCCAGAAGAGUCUGAGUAUGUGCAGGAAGUCUUAGUCAAGUGCAGAGCAGUGAGGAGGGGUAGGAGUAAGUCCAGGGUGGGUUUGCUGUCUGCCCAGAGAAGGCCUUGCCCAAGAGGAAGCUGCCAGCUGGGGGUCAAGAGUUAAAACUCUGAGGGUCUCAUAAUGUGGCCCAAGCCUAGCAACUCCACAAGUUUAUAUCUGUAAAUUUGAUUAAAGUGCAUAGAUUCAAAAGACAAAUGAAAAGCUUCAUAUCAUACACAAAGGUUGACUUCCUUCAAUAUGUAAAGAGCCCCUCUGAGUCAAUAAGAGAAAAACUCCCACGUAAGAAAAGUAGAGAAAGGUUGGAAGGGACAGUUUGCAGGAAUGGGAACCACAAAUGAUAUUUGUUUACUUAUUCAUUUAUUUUUUAGUUGGUUUUAUGAGAGAGGGUCUCAUGCAGCCCAGGAUGACCUCGAAUAAUUGAUUUGACUGCUUCUACCUCUGAGUUCUGGGAUUAUAGACGUGUACCAUCUCACCCAGGCUACAAACGUCUUUUAAACAUAUGCAAAGUUGCUCAUUCUCUUUCUGUAAUGAGGGAAAUGCAAAUUAAAAGUGGGCAGAGAUUCCAUUUUUAUACUUAAGAUUGAGCUAGGUGUUGUGUGACACUAUUCCUGGGGAGACUUGAACAAAUAUCUACUCACCCCAGAUAGAGAACUAGGGACAGACCAAAGUAAGGACACCUCCAGAGUCCAGCAUGGCGAGAAAGCCAGUCUGUUGUAAUUGCUUACAGAAGUUUAGACUAGAGAUUACUUACAGAGGCAGUUGUGUCACCAAAAGCCCACCCCUGGGCAACAACUCAGGAAAGCUGGAACCCUGGAUCUUUCUGCACAACUUGCAAGCAGCUCCACAGGCCAGAGUCUCCUCUCCUUGACAGUCCUCUUGGCUGAUAGAACCUAGGGAGAAGGAGGAGCCUGUGAGUCCAGUAAGCUUCAGAGACUUCCUGGUGCCUUAUGUAUUUGCUUCCUGGGUCUUAAUGAACUUUGCCUUAGAACUUCGUAAGUCUUAAGGAGCCUCCAUCAAGGAUACAAAGUUUCAAUUCAGACAAAAUUGAUACACAGUACUCCACCCUUCCUCCAACUCUUCCAUUUUCUGCCUCUGGUUCAUGGUGUUCUCUGAGGAAUGAUGCAGAUGUCUCAGCCUUGGGCUACUCUGCCACAGCAACAGUUGCUUGUUCUCAAGAGUGUCUCUGUAGCCCACCUCCAUCUGUAAAGAAAACAUCCUUUUAUUGUAGGUGGCAGUUGUGCUCUGUAACUGGUCUUAAGCACAGCGGCAUUUUGCAGUUUGACAGACAUAUCAUAUCCAUUUAACAAAGCAAUUGCUGUUGCUUUCCCUUCCGCCAGUUGUUUUUUUCCUGGUUCACAGAAUCUGCAGUGAUUUGCCUUCUGUGGAAUAGGCUUUAAAUCCAACCAGAAAGUUGUUGGUUGUAUCCAAAACAGUCUGUGCCGCUAGUAGGCCUGUAGACACAUUUGAUAUCUAGAUGGUGUUGCAUUCAGCAUCUUCAACCAAGUAGGACUGUUAGUGAAACUCUCCCCCCAGCAACCUUCGAUAUAUCUUUUAACAUUAUGAAAGUCAGCCAGCAGGGAGUGAGCUUCCAGUUCAGUCCCAGCCUGAUUUCUCUGUCAUGUGUCCAGCUCAUGUAUUGUCUUCAGCCAUAGGAACUUAUCUAAUUCUGGUAUGCAGCCAACAGCAGCGGCAGUGAUCUUACCAUUUGGGGGGCUUGGAGAUCUUCCUGGCCCGUAGUUCAUGGGGAGGUUACCCACUCCUGCAGUUUUUACUUAACCAUUUUAUGGCUUUGGACACUUGUCUUUCUCCAGAUAUGCAAGACGUCCUCUGAAAAAUUUUUACUGUUGUUUUUACCUUUUUCUCCCCUUAGACGUUUGUGAAAAUCUGUAAGACACUCUGGGGUUAAGAGCCCUUGUUCUGCAAAGGACCUGAACUUGAUUCUCAGCACCGACAUAGGGCUCACCACCUCCUUGGACACUAGGCACACAUGUGAUGCACAGACAUACAUGAAGGCAAAACACUCACACAUGAAGCAAUAAAAUAAAUCUAAAAAUGUCCCUGAGACACUCAGGCAGCAUUGUGUGACAAGACCUUUUCAUACAGAGAGUGUGUAGGAUCUGUGAAGGCCACUGUUGUCUAUUUCAAGUAGUCAACUUUGAGGGUUCAGAGAAUACUAAAAAAGAAAUGUUAGCAAGGCCCAGUAUGGUGUGAAAGGGCCUCACCACCUUUAUCAGUUCUUCAGUCAGAAGAGUAGUGUUGGGAAUAGUGACAGAGACAGGGACACUGCCCCAUUUGGCCUUCCAUGAUCCAUACACAUUGUCCCACCUGUGACGGUCUCAGCGGGGCUGACUUGUGUUGCUUCAUCUGGCUUAGGUCAGCUUCACUCUAAGCUGCUGUGCCUGCUGCUGGAGCUGGACCCCUUGUCUGGCAGGCUCCUGGCCACAGCUGCGCCCCCUAACCGUCUGUCAGCUCCAUCCGACUGCGAAAAGGCCCCGUCUGAGUGAGCAGACACUUCUUCCAGCUACUUAGCACACACUCUGGAGUGGGGUGGGGUUGCCCAUCCCUAGGACAAACUUAAUUUUCUUUUCUAAUAAUUGGUGCUCAGGCUUUCUAACCUUCCUGGAGUUGACUCACACAACAGCAGUUGGCUUUCUUUGGAUUUUUUCCCCUAGGAGCUCCAACUUGUCCCAUUUGCCUCUAAGUGGUUUGUGCAGACCUCUUUGUUCAUCUUGUCUUUCUUUCAUUCUUGGUUGCUUUGAUUCUAAAAUGAGGCAUGGGAAAUAAACACCUUACAAACCUCGGGAAGUCCCUGAAGCUUCCUAGAUUCACAGGAACCCUUCUUCUGCAAGAUUAUGUGAAAGUGAAGACUUCUGAGAGGGGACUCUCCCACCUGUGGAGCUGCCAGCGAGUCAAGGCAGGGCCCUCCUGAAGAUGGGUGCUGACAAAGGACUAGGACCUGGGCACAGAGGGAACUGGAAAACUGAGCCCGUACACGGGGCAGGAAAAAUUGAAAGUCUCAGGACCCAGUGACCUAGCAGGUGAUGGAGAGGGCCUGGGCCUGGUAGUGGCCUGGUAGAACCCUACCUCCUCCAUCCUGUGCCACCCUGCCCCCUACCGGACAUCAUCCAUCAGCCCUGCUUAACCAUGGUGGUCCUAACCACAAAGGUCUCCUCAUCCUUUUGACUCCAGGAGGAAGAUUGGAGGAAAGACAGCAGAAUUGGAUUCCCUGGUUCAAAGGCCUUGAGAGGGUGGACUCCAGCUGAACUACUGUCCAGGGACCACAGACUGGCGGAGGAGACAAGCUGAGAACUCUGGAACAAGAUCAGAUCUCUCUAGAAAUUUAAAAACACCUAAGUGAAGCCAGGGAUCAAAUCUCAGCACCGGAGAGGUAGAAACAAGAAGACAAGAAGUUGAAAGUCACCCUUGGCUCCAUAGCUAGUUUUCAGACCAAUGAGGGAUACAAGAGAUCUUAUCUCAAAAGACUAACAAACCCUGCAGUGCAUUUGAUGCUACAGACAGUUCAUUUAAAUACUGGGACAUCUGGUCUUUUAAAGAAAAAACUCAAUCUGACAACUCCUAGCCGGUUGUCGUGCCCAGCAACAAUUCUCACUGGUUGAAGUUAGGCAAGAGGUUGUGAGCCUAGCCUUUAAUGGCUGAGCCAUCUCUCCAACCAUGAUGAUAAGGUUGAUGACUACCUUAUAUGCCAUCCUAGAACCUUCAUCCAGUGACUGAUGGAAGC